rnacentral:sRNA from 1 species
GGCUAGCGUGAAGGAUAGCAGUGGAAAUCCUUUUGUUGCCACCUUGAGCGUAGCCGAAAGACAACAAAAGAUUGUAACGGAUAGCCUGACCCUUU